AGAACGAACGCUGGCGGCAUGCCUAACACAUGCAAGUCGAACGAGACCUUUCGGGGUCUAGUGGCGCACGGGUGCGUAACGCGUGGGAAUCUGCCCUUGGGUUCGGAAUAACAGUGGGAAACUACUGCUAAUACCGGAUGAUGACGUAAGUCCAAAGAUUUAUCGCCCGAGGAUGAGCCCGCGUAGGAUUAGCUAGUUGGUGAGGUAAUGGCUCACCAAGGCGACGAUCCUUAGCUGGUCUGAGAGGAUGAUCAGCCACACUGGGACUGAGACACGGCCCAGACUCCUACGGGAGGCAGCAGUGGGGAAUAUUGGACAAUGGGCGCAAGCCUGAUCCAGCAAUGCCGCGUGAGUGAUGAAGGCCUUAGGGUUGUAAAGCUCUUUUACCAGGGAUGAUAAUGACAGUACCUGGAGAAUAAGCUCCGGCUAACUCCGUGCCAGCAGCCGC
rnacentral:rRNA from 1 species